rnacentral:rRNA from 1 species
UACGUAGGGUGCAAGCGUUAAUCGGAAUUACUGGGCGUAAAGCGUGCGCAGGCGGUUAUGCAAGUCAGAUGUGAAAUCCCCGGGCUCAACCUGGGAACUGCAUUUGUGACUGCAUAGCUAGAGUACGGUAGAGGGGGAUGGAAUUCCGCGUGUAGCAGUGAAAUGCGUAGAUAUGCGGAGGAACACCGAUGGCGAAGGCAAUCCCCUGGACCUGUACUGACGCUCAUGCACGAAAGCGUGGGGAGCAAACAGG